AUGGUGCAAUUUCAGCACCUGGUGUCACAGAGGUCGGGGAGGCAGAAGCGGGGGGCUGGGGGCUGGGGGCAGCCUGGCGAGAGGGGCCCUUUGUGGUCCCCUUUGCCCUGCGCUGCUUUCCCAGCAGGAGAGUUGCUGCAGUCCAGCUCCGGCUGCUUUUGGGGGAUUUCCCUCACACGUGCAGCCCGUGGCUCUGCUGGGGCCCUGGAGCCAGUGCAAUUAUCCUGGGGUCUGGCUGGGGGGGAUUAUCUUGGUAGGUCAAGCAGCGUUUGCGGUGAAUUGAGUGAGGGAGCUGAAGGCAAAAGCCCUGCUGUGUGCGUGGGCUUGCUGCAGUGGGUUUGGGCAGUGCUGCCUGUGUCCUUGUGCCCCCUUCCCGUCCCUGUGUCCUUGUGCCUCUUCCCAUCCCUCUCUGCUGGAGCCAGGGGAACAGGAGAGCUACUGGUGGUGCUCAGCACUGCGUGGAUCCGCACCUCAGCAUCCUCACUGCGGGGUCUGACAGGGACUCGUGCUCUCAGAGGGACCGGUGGCAGCUCCACCACUGUUUUCAAAGAAAAGGAAAAAAGAGGGAAAAGUUUUUUCCCUCGUUCCUCUCCUCCUGCCCUCGCUUCCUUCCCCAUCUCAGCGCCAUGCGCCAAGCUCCCGGCGCUUUGUCCCUGCUGCGCGGAGGAAGCCGAGUGGGCGUGGGGCUGCGGCCGGUGUGGGAAUUGUUCUUAUCAAGCUGCUUUUCGUCAAGAAAGAAUAAUAAUAAUAAUAAAAUCUUUGAUGGUACCAAGGGAACUCGGGAGGCGCAGCUGCCCCCGAGGCCUGAUCCGCGGCUCGUGGUGUUUCCUGAGCCUUGGCCGUGAGUUUUUAGGGUCUUUGUGCUGCGGCAGAUUUUGCUGCGUGCCUGAAAUAUCUCGGAGGAGCCGGGAGAGCUGGCCGGGGGCUGGCACAGGGAGAACGAGCUGCCGGACACGGCUCGCUGAGAAGCAGGGGAGAAGUAUCAGAAAAAGCAAGUUUCCUGCCACUCGCUGGGGUAUUUAUGACUGGAAAGUUUGGGGUCGGAAAGGUCGCGAGCAGGCAGCAGAAAGCGGCGGUGGCUACAAAAGCACAGGACACGGGUCUGCAGCCGAGUGCGUGCAUGCGGCUCUGCCCACUCACCCCUUCCUGCAAAUUCUCCCGAAUUAG
rnacentral:lncRNA from 1 species